rnacentral:lncRNA from 1 species
CAGCAGCAGACAGGAGAUGGAGGAAGUUUUACCUCUGGGAUACAUUCACUAAGAUAACUGGAGUUAAUGUGAGACCAAUAAUACAGAGAUGUCAAUCCCUUCCAGUUAGCGACAACUCUACAAUGAUGGGGAUAUAAAGGAGAUGCCAGGCGUAUGUGUGAAUACUCUAAGCAAAGCAGUGAGUGUAUCCAGUGAGCCAUGAAUUCCCUGGAGCUCUCCAGCAGCCCAUAG